GGCCAUUGUGAGGUGCUCCAGACAGAACAUGCAGUGGUGCUCCGAGAAGCAGCUGUAGGUGCAGUACCUGUUCGAAGGCAUUGUACCAUAGCAGCACGGCAAGCACAGCGCACCAGCAAACAGUCCCUUGGCCAGCAGCCACCUGGACCAGGCCAGAACUCCUGUCCAGAAGUGAGUGGGUGGGGGGUCCUCGGGAUAGCCUCUAUCCUCGCAAUGGUCAUGAGGUGUAUGAGGGAACUCCGGACCGACUCUUACACUGGGCAAAGGGGAUUAGAUGGAGAAAAAUGCCUUCAUGGAAGAGGUUUUCUCCCGUGCAGAUCAGGCACGAGGCAGGAAGUGAACUUUUGAAAUCAGCUGCUCUGCCUCCAGGAAACGUCACUCACAUCCUCAUGAAUGACACGACCCGUGCCCACUGCUCACGAUCCACCUAACUAAAAUCGAGAGUUGGUUUGGGUUUGAGGACUUGAAAUAACUUUGAAACAAAAGAAAUCACCUUUUUCUUCUCUCUUUCUUUCAGAUGCUGGACUUGGCUCUGUGGGUGUGUGCUGAGCUCUUGCUGCAGGGGACUUUCAGCCCUGAAUGGCUGGACUGUGCCUCUGCCUGCUAAAAUUCCGAACAGAUCAAGAUUUCUGUCAGACCCAAGCUGCCACCACUUAGAAGCCCGGCUGCCUUUGGAGUGACAAACGCCUCCUCCAAACUGGUAUCAGGAAAGUGGGACGGCAAGUCACCAUGCAAGCUCACUUUCAGUCAUAGAGUGUAAGUGGAAAUCAUCGUGGUGCGGCGUCCGGACUUGAGAGCGGUAUUCCGCAGCAAAUCUGACCU